rnacentral:rRNA from 1 species
AACGAACGCUGGCGGCAGGCUUAACACAUGCAAGUCGAGCGCCCCGCAAGGGGAGCGGCAGACGGGUGAGUAACACGUGGGAACGUACCUUUUGCUACGGAAUAGCUCCGGGAAACUGGAAUUAAUACCGUAUGUGCCCUUCGGGGGAAAGAUUUAUCGGCAAAAGAUCGGCCCGCGUCUGAUUAGCUAGUUGGUGGGGUAAUGGCCUACCAAGGCGACGAUCAGUAGCUGGUCUGAGAGGAUGAUCAGCCACACUGGGACUGAGACACGGCCCAGACUCCUACGGGAGGCAGCAGUGGGGAAUAUUGGACAAUGGGCGCAAGCCUGAUCCAGCCAUGCCGCGUGAGUGAUGAAGGCCUUAGGGUUGUAAAGCUCUUUCGCUAGGGAAGAUAAUGACGGUACCUAGAGAAGAAGCCCCGGCUAACUUCGUGCCAGCCGCCGCCGUAACAC